AAGAUUAUACUUUCAGAAAUUGUUUCUAUAAUUUGUAAUUAGAGAAGUGUGGGUGAAAGAGUCUGAUUUUGCUAAUCAUGAAAAGAAGUUAAAGUGUUCUUUUCUGAGCAUAAAGUGAGUGGACAGUGUUUUUUAAUACAGCUGCUGUUUGCUAUUCAUGACUGUUCUUGUUUUCUUUUUGGGAAGCUGAAAGAGAAAGAACAUAAACUAAAUAAU